rnacentral:rRNA from 1 species
CAGAACGAACGCUGGCGGCGUGCCUAACACAUGCAAGUCGAACGGAAUUGAGGUGCUUGCACUUCAAUUUAGUGGCGCACGGGUGAGUAACGCGUAGAUAAUCUGCCUGAUGAUCUGGGAUAACACUUCGAAAGAGGUGCUAAUACCGGAUAAGCCCACGGAGUCUUUGGACUCUGGCGGGGAAAAGGGGGGCCUUCGGGCCUUCUGUCAUCAGAUGAGUCUGCGUACCAUUAGCUAGUUGGUAGGGUAAUGGCCUACCAAGGCUACGAUGGUUAGCUGGUCUGAGAGGAU